rnacentral:rRNA from 1 species
GACGAAGGGGGCUAGCGUUGUUCGGAAUUACUGGGCGUAAAGCGCGUGUAGGCGGUUAUCCAAGUCGGGUGUGAAAGCCUUGAGCUCAACUCAAGAAAUGCAUUCGGUACUGGGUGACUAGAGGACCGGAGAGGAUAGUGGAAUUCCCAGUGUAGUGGUGAAAUACGUAGAGAUUGGGAAGAACACCAGUGGCGAAGGCGGCUAUCUGGACAGUUUCUGACGCUAAGACGCGAAAGCGUGGGGAGCAAACAGG